rnacentral:lncRNA from 1 species
GCACAUCCAAAAUACCAAUUAAACUAUGGGUAGGGCUAAAACAAGCUUUUAUGAUUUAUUUCUACACACAACCAAUUCAUACAGAGAUUUAAACCAAUAAUUCCUAAUACUAUUGUAUUUGAGUUCGUCGUACGCCAAACAACCCUCAACAACCGCAGAUAACCCAGUAUUGACAACCUCUGAAAAAUGAUCAUGAGUAGGAAAUAUAUCGAGCAGUAAAACACAUAAUCAUAUUGGAUAUCAUUGAAAAAAAAGGAACUAUAAAUUUAGAUUACCAAGAAGCUCUUGAAAACAUCUUUUAUAGAGAGCAGCAAGAAAUGAGUAUGUAAUGGCUUCCAAACUUUCAAAUCAUGAUUCUUUUUCUUUACUUGAUGAGUUGUUCUAUAUCCUUCCUCCCAUAGAUUAAUUGGUGUAAUUCUGCUAUGUAUACAUGCACUCAUUUGUGAUUGAAACAUAAAGACUUUUGCCUGCCACAUAGUAACAUUCUUAUAUGCAUGUCAAGCAAUCAUCACUCAAAUUAGCACAUAAAAAAUUAGUUCAGAGUCCAACUGAUUCUCUCUUUCAAAUGUAAAGAACUAAAUAGACAGAUGCAUAAUAUCUCAAAAUAGGCCACUUUUAACAAACACGAAUUUAUUCCAGAGUCCAACUAAUGUGAUUCUCACUCUUUCAAAUGUAAAGAACUAAAGAAACAGAUGCAGAAUAUCUUAAAAUAGGUCACUUCCUACAACGUUUAACAAACACAAAUUUAAAGAACUUAGGAGAUUAGUAGUCGGUCUGGAGUUUAAUUGAUAGAACACAAGUGAAACAUUAAAAAAAUGUACACCUCGCCAUGGGCAUCAGAAUUAACUGUAAGACAUAAUCAAACCUUAUCUUAAUCUGAAAGCGCAAAGCUUUUAUAAUACCCAGGCCUGCAAGGUAAAGUAAUCCCAAACCAUGUAAGCACCAGUAAGCACACAUCAAGAAAAACUCGAGCUUUAGAAAGCUACAAAAAGGUCUACACAUGGAGAUGCACAUGGGAAUUAAAAAACAAAAAAGGAGAUUUGGUACAACUAUCAAGCCCUAAACCAUUAUUGUGGAUGUUUACAAAUUUAAGAUGCAGGCCCUGUUCGAUAAUUAAAACUCAAAAAAUGUUUCGCAUUUUCCAGAUUUAGUGUAGUAUCAAAAAGGUAGUGCAAUAUCUUUAAUUUGGCAACUCAACAUAACAAAGUCAAGUAUAAUUGAGGAGAUAAAGAUAUGCAGAGAUGUACUUACACUGAGAGCGGAGCAAUUAGAGACAUGCACUUUACAGAUUUAAAUCUCCUCUUCUUAGAAUUAACAUGCAUUGUACCCAAAGAAUCAACGACCUCAAACAAAUUAAACUACAUAUUCAAAAAUAGAAUAAAAAAAAAUUUGAAAUUAGAAUUACAAAAUUCAUAAACACUUAACCUAUCUUCCUUUCAAAAUUACUAAAAAUUUCUCAAACCUUGUUUCCUAUAACAUCACAAACAUGCCAAAUAAGUAAGAGUAAGGUAAUAUGAGGCAAAUAAUUCAAACUCAGACCCUGUUUAACCCAUUCAAAAUAAAACUUAUAUUAAGAAACAAUUGAAGAGAUCUGAUAUCAACACACUUACCAAGAGUAAGGUAAUAGGAGGCAAAUAAUUAAAUCGAAAAUUCAAAAAUAAAAAACCAAAUUAAACUAAAAAUUACCUAUUAACAAAAUGGAAAAAACCAACCCAUCGCUCUCGGAGCGACCACAACAAAAUCUUAGGUCAAGUAUGGAUGGUGUGCCAUCGACUAGUCAAGCAAGAACACGUGAGUAAACAGCUAGUCUAAGCGAGUAGAUCUUCAAUCGACUACGAGCAAGCGGAGGUGAAACUGUUGAUGGAAGCGUGGUCGAGACAACGAAGGAAGAUCCAUCCACUAUUAGAGAAGGAAAGUCGAGAUCUAUAACCUCAAAAGGAGCCAAAGAAGAAUCGAGAGAGAGAGAAGGAACUAGAAAAAUUUGAGAAAAAAAGUAAAGAGAGAGAGCCUAGGGUUUGAAGAGAGGCUCCAUCUGAUUAGGAAUUGAGAAGGGAGGCUGUGUCAAAUUUCACAUGCAAGUAUAGAAAACAACUUAGAACAUCGAAAGGAAUUAAACGUAGGUAGUUAUAGACCUUACCUCGGUAGGGAAAGCGAUGAACUCGUCAGAACUCUCUUGGAUUCGAGACGGAGCUCUGGUUCUUCGAUUUGAGGUUCGAGUCUAAGUUCUGGGACUUUGGGUUCUAGUUCUGUGUUUGGUGUGAGGUUGGGACGAGGAUGGUGGUGAUUUGGUGUUCAAAGUCGCCGGAGAACGUGGUGACUGUGUUGCUCGGGGAGAAGCGAGCCAAGAGAGAGAAGAGAAGGAUGAGGGACAGAGAGAGAAGAGAGAAGAGGAACCGAGGGAGAAGAGAGACAGGUGUGG